AUUGAACGCUGGCGGCAGGCCUAACACAUGCAAGUCGAGCGGAUGAAGGGAGCUUGCUCCUGGAUUCAGCGGCGGACGGGUGAGUAAUGCCUAGGAAUCUGCCUGGUAGUGGGGGAUAACGUCCGGAAACGGGCGCUAAUACCGCAUACGUCCUGAGGGAGAAAGUGGGGGAUCUUCGGACCUCACGCUAUCUGAUGAGCCUAGGUCGGAUUAGCUAGUUGGUGGGGUAAAGGCCUACCAAGGCGACGAUCUGUAACUGGUCUGAGAGGAUGAUCAGUCACACUGGAACUGAGACACGGUCCAGACUCCUACGGGAGGCAGCAGUGGGGAAUAUUGGACAAUGGGCGAAAGCCUGAUCCAGCCAUGCCGCGUGUGUGAAGAAGGUCUUCGGAUUGUAAAGCACUUUAAGUUGGGAGGAAGGGCAGUAAGUUAAUACCUUGCUGUUUUGACGUUACCAACAGAAUAAGCACCGGCUAACUUCGUG
rnacentral:rRNA from 1 species